ACAUCUGGACUUUGUGGUAGGAUAAAUCUGAUUCAAAUGUCAACACCCAGAUUAUCUUUCCCAAAGUUGUCCCAAAGAUGAAGAAUUUGCAUUACUCCGAUGACCCUGAGGACACAGACAAACCUCCAUGACUCUCUAG